rnacentral:rRNA from 1 species
UACGGAGGGGGCAAGCGUUGUUCGGAAUUACUGGGCGUAAAGGGCGCGUAGGCGGCCACCGCAAGUCGACUGUGAAAUCUCCGGGCUUAACCCGGAAAGGUCAGCCGAUACUGCGGGGCUAGAGUGCAGAAGGGGCAACUGGAAUUCUCGGUGUAGCGGUGAAAUGCGUAGAUAUCGAGAGGAACACCUGCGGCGAAGGCGGGUUGCUGGGCUGACACUGACGCUGAAGCGCGAAAGCUAGGGGAGCGAACGGG